ACUUCUUUAGUAUAACUAGUACAGUUGACUUCCAAUCAACUAGCUCUGGUUUAAUCCAGAAAGAAGUA
rnacentral:tRNA from 1 species